AACGAACGCUGGCGGCAUGCCUAACACAUGCAAGUCGAACGAGACCUUCGGGUCUAGGGGCGCACGGGUGCGUAACGCGUGGGAACCUGCCCUUAGGUUCGGAAUAACUCCCCGAAAGGGGUGCUAAUACCGGAUAAUGUCUUCGGACCAAAGAUUUAUCGCCUUUGGAUGGGCCCGCGUUGGUUUAGCUGGUUGGUAGGGUAAAAGCCUACCAUGGCGACGAUCCAUAGCUGGUCUGAGAGGAUGAUCAGCCACACUGGGAAUGCGACACGGCCCAGAAUCGUACGGAAGGCAGCAGUGGGGAAUAUUGGAGAAGGAGGGAAAGCCUGAUCCAGCAAUGCGGGGUGAGUGAUGAAGGCCUUAGGGUUGUAAAGCUCUUUUAGCCGGGAUGAUAAUGACAGUACCGGGAGAAUAAGCUCCGGCUAACUCCGUG
rnacentral:rRNA from 1 species